ACAAAUCAUCAUAGUCGUGCGCUUCGGCGCACCGCUAUAUACACCCUUUGCUUGGGAAGAGCAGCAAUGCUUGGAACAGCUUUGGUUGCAAUCCGCAAGGAUUGUAGGCUAGCCGAAAGGCUAUGCCACAUAGACGCUUGCUUAGUUUGACAGAGUUUAGUUGCAAUCAAAAAAUA
rnacentral:misc_RNA from 1 species